rnacentral:rRNA from 1 species
GGAUGCGAUCAUACCAGCACUAAAGCAUCAGAUCCCAUCAGAACUCUGAAGUUAAGCGUGCUUGGGCGAGAGUAGUACUAGGACGGGUGACCUCCUGGGAAGUCCUCGUGUAGCAUCCC